rnacentral:rRNA from 1 species
UACGUAGGUGGCAAGCGUUAUCCGGAAUUAUUGGGCGUAAAGCGCGCGCAGGUGGUUUCUUAAGUCUGAUGUGAAAGCCCACGGCUCAACCGUGGAGGGUCAUUGGAAACUGGGAGACUUGAGUGCAGAAGAGGAAAGUGGAAUUCCACUGUGUAGCGGUGAAAUGCGUAGAGAUAUGGAGGAACACCAGUGGCGAAGGCGACUUCUGGUCUGUAACUUGACACUGAGGCGCGAAAGCGUGGGGAGC